AUUAAAUACAUAAAAAAAUUUUUUAAGUCAAUGGAAAGCAAGUGCUCCCUGCCCAAGAUGCUGGUUAAAUAUUAAAGCAAGUUGGGUAAUAAUUACCAACAAUUUCAUUCGUGAGUGGACUUCCCUGGUGGCUCUGACAGUAAAGAAUCCACCUGCAAUUCGGGAGACCUGGGUUUGAUCCCUGGGGAACUGUGUUGGAGAAGACUCUUGAGAGUCCCUUGGACAGCAAGGAGAUCAAACCAGUCAAUCCUAAAGGAAAUCAGUCCUGAAUAUUCAUUGGAAGGACUGAUGCUGAAGCUGAAGCUCCAAUACUUUGGCCACCUGAUGCUAAGAACUGACUCAUUGGAAAAGACUCUGAUACUCGGCAAGAUUGAAGGCCCUGAAACAAUUUGCUUAAAGUGAUAGUUACCUCUAAUGAAAAGAUACAUAACGGAAAAUGUCAGCAACCUUUUAAAUCCUCCACAACUUAUCAUGAAGACCGUCUUGUGCAAAGUGCUCGUGGUGAAGCAACUUCUUUUGUCUCCGAUUCCUCCUAAAUUAGGUGGAUUCUUUACCAGCUGACCUACCAUGGAGAGAAAUUGCAGCUUGCCCUCCGUCUCCUAUUGCUGAUGAUCCUUCAGUUCUACCAUCUCCCGGUUCCUGUCCCUCCUCUAGUCUGUAACUCUUCUUGCCUGUUCAGCCCCUUAUUACCAGCAGUUGUACUGUACUACUGUACUUUUCAGGGUACUGUACGAUUAAAAUGUUUUAAUUUUUUGUUCAUUUUAAUGUAUUAUUUGCAUGAAAAGCAUUGUACACCUAUUACAGAACAGUACUAUAUAGCCACUUGUGUUAGUUGGGAACCCAGGCUAAGUUUGUUGGACUUAAUGAUCAAACCAGACUCACUAACCCUCUCUCUGAAUGGAACUCUUUCAUAUGUAGGGGACUCACUGUAUUUGCAAAGAUAUGGGCAGG
ensembl:lncRNA